UACGGGGGGAGCAAGCGUUGUUCGGAUUUACUGGGCGUAAAGGGCGCGUAGGCGGCGUGGCAAGUCACUUGUGAAAUCUCCGGGCUUAACUCGGAACGGUCAAGUGAUACUGCUGUGCUAGAGUGCGGAAGGGGCAACUGGAAUUCUUGGUGUAGCGGUGAAAUGCGUAGAUAUCAAGAGGAACACCUGCGGCGAAGGCGGGUUGCUGGGCCGACACUGACGCUGAGGCGCGAAAGCUAGGGGAGCGAACGGG
rnacentral:rRNA from 1 species